AAAACAUCUCCCAAACUGUCCCAAGAUUGUCAGAGACAAGGAAUGUCAAAAUUUGUGUUUAAGUGGCAAGUCCCCCUUUUUUUUUUAAAACAACGCUAUGAAAGAGCAAGGCAAACAACCCCUUAAUAGAUUAAAUCUAUGUUAUCCAGA